ensembl:snRNA U6 U6 spliceosomal RNA
GUGCUCGCUUCGGCAGCACAUAUUCUAAAAUUGGAACAAUACAGACUAGAUUAGCAUGGCCCCUGUGCAAGGAUGACAUGCAAAUUCGUGAAGCGUUCCAUGUUUAA